rnacentral:lncRNA from 1 species
GAAAAAUUAGCAAGCACACUUUAGAAAAGGAAAAGCCAUUUCAAGGUAAAAAUCUUAGUUUCAUGGCACAAUUUUCUGAUUUUUUUUGCUCAAGAUUUCAGGUUCCAUUCAACUCAAGGGUUCCUGGCCAUGAUGAUUUCUAUCAUCAUAAAAAGGGUCAGUAAUCUCUCUAAGGGACAGCUCCGCUCAAGUAGUUCCGAGGAUACGAUUCGCACCCAGCAGUUUGUUUGAUCAAUUCAUAGAAAUUCUUGGCUAUGAUGAUUGAAAUCAUCAUAACCAAGGUUAAGAAUCUCUCCAAGGCUUGGCUCCGCUAAGAUAAUUCCAUCGAUGUUUUCAGUCCACCACCAAUAGGGAAGAUUGUUUUCCAUGAUGAUUUCAAUCAUCAUAUUUCCAACAGGCAACUCCGGUUAAAUGCUUCCAAAUGCAGGGGAUGUCUCAAAUCAUGGAGAGUUAAGGAGGAUAUGGGGGUCACUAUGGAAUCAAAAUCAAAGAAGGAGGGCGUGUAACAACCUCUAUAUGGAGCAUCUAAAAAUAAAAGGGUCUCACGGCAAUUGAAUUGCCUCCCUAUGGGCAGCUGCCGCCAGCAAGUCAACAAAAGAAAAAAAAAGACACAAAAAAGAGAAGGAGAAGAGAGCCAGCGGAGGAAGAGAUAAUGGAGCAAAAGAAAAAUGGUGGGUUUGCUUCUUGUGUUUUGUUGCAAAGAAACAAAAUAAGGGGCAACGUAGUAAAAAAAAAAAAAAAAGAAGAAGAGGGUAAUGAAAAAAAAAGGGGGCUGUGUCGCACAGCCCCUCCCUAUCUUGAAUCAAAAUUCAUGGUCAGCUUUGAUUGAAAGAAUGAGUAAAGAAAAAGCUUUCAAUAUGUAAGAAGACAAAGCAAGUACUCAACCUAGAUUUGUCUUUAUGAAGCAAGAAGACAAACUGCUCCUGAAGCUCUCAAUGUGGCCUACAGCAAUGCACUUCUUUAAUCUGUACAUACAAAAGUCUGAGACAUAAAAAAAAAAGAAGAAGAAGAAAAUGAGGAUUAUGAGUGUGGGUUAGCACGUGAAACCUUAGGAGGGGAAGAAACAAUCUGUCUCUUCUUUUGAUGAUGCAGCAGGUAGCCUGUGAAGGUGUACGAACUGGUCUGGAACAACAACAAAAUAUCAAGUGCUCUCGUUUUAAUUGCUGGUGCUCUCAAGUUGUGGUGCACGUAUACCCUUUUUAAAAGAAAUUCUUGUGGUCCAAUCCUAUUCGGAAAAUGGCCUUUUCUUCUCGUGCUUCUUGUCUUCAAAUCCAACAAGGAACAAUAUGGCCCAUCCAUACUUCGCUGGGAGAAGGAUUUUUAUCCUUGGGUGUCUUGAUCAAAUUAAAAGGGCAUUUACUUUUGGCACCAAGCCGAAAAGAACCAGCUGGAUAAGGCACACAAAUAUCAUUU